UACGAAGGGGCUAGCGUUGUUCGGAUUUACUGGGCGUAAAGCGCACGUAGGCGGAUCGUUAAGUCGGGGGUGAAAUCCUGGAGCUCAACUCCAGAACUGCCUUCGAUACUGGCGAUCUUGAGUCCGGAAGAGGUGAGUGGAACUGCGAGUGUAGAGGUGAAAUUCGUAGAUAUUCGCAAGAACACCAGUGGCGAAGGCGGCUCACUGGCCCAUUACUGACGCUGAGGCACGAAAGCGUGGGGAGCAAACAGG
rnacentral:rRNA from 1 species